rnacentral:rRNA from 1 species
UACGAAGGGGGCUAGCGUUGCUCGGAUUGACUGGGUGUAAAGGGCGCGUAGGCGGUUCGUACAGUCAGACGUGAAAUUCCUGGGCUCAACCUGGGGGCUGCGUUUGAUACGUGCGGACUUGAGUGCGGAAGAGGGUCGUGGAAUUCCCAGUGUAGAGGUGAAAUUCGUAGAUAUUGGGAAGAACACCGGUGGCGAAGGCGGCGACCUGGUCCGAUACUGACGCUGAGGCGCGAAAGCGUGGGGAGCAAACAGG